GUUUGAAAGAACAAAUGAUGGCGUCAAUGGGAAGACUAAUUGAAAACUACCACACCACCUUAUAGAAGAACCAACCUACUGUACAGAACAAGGAAUUAAGGAGGAGUGAAUAUGGGUCUGCCCGCUGCUUGCCUCCUCCACCUCACCCAAGAUGAUCACUCCCUCGGGGACCACACAAUGUCCUAUACAGCUCCGUAACACUCAUGAAUGAUGCAUACUGCCUUCUUCUGAUAAGGGACCUGCUGUGGAUCCAGGAGUGUGAACAUGGCAAAGAAAAAACACCUCUAUGGUUGUCAGGAGGAGCAGCUUUCAUGUUUCUUGUUUCCAUUUGGAUUUUUGGUUUCGAACAGUGCAUGAGGUUUAAUCAUAGAAAUAUUGUAAAACGAGAUAUGUGGUGGCACAUUUGAAUAAAGAUUUUAAAAACUGGAUGGAUGGAUGGAUGGA